GUCUUCGUGGUGCAGUGGUGAGCACGCUCGAUGGGUAUCCGAGAGGUCCGUGGUUCAAGUCCCGGCGAGGGCA
rnacentral:tRNA from 1 species